AAAAUGUGCAUUCUUAAAUGUUAUUAAUGGCAGCAAUUCACACAUAGAUUAAGGUACAUCUGAACAGUGAUUUCCAAUAAUAAAAUCCAAAUGUCAAAAAAUGCCGUUUAUCGCAUUUUGCAACCUAACUCUUCAUAUGUAUGUGAGUUAUGACUGUAUGACUGCAGAAGAGAACUGCUCUGUUCCCACAACUCAGUUUUUCUGGGACUUGAAAACAGACGCUCAGCAGAUUUUAAAGGGUGGAAUCUUGAUCAAAUCAGAAAGUUACAGUGGAUCGUGAUUUUGGAGGAGGUGAAGUCCAAUCUAAAAGAGUCCCCUCAAGUAUCAUCACCAUGGUACAGUGUCUGUGAAGAUAGUGAUGCAGACCCAGCAUUCACAAAAAAGAGAGGUCCCAUAAAGAGAAGAUCCUGGAGCAAACAGGAAGUACAUGCUGUGGUGAAAGCUGAACCAUUGGCUCUAAAAACCAGAGAUUGGUCAGCUUUGGAUUUUUAUAUUAAAAACUGAAUCUCGACUCUUUAGA